GUCCGGACGGAAGUAGGAAGCGGGAGCGUAGGGACACGCCUGCGGCGCUGCUGGUUGAGGCUGUGUGGGUUGGGGACGGGCCGAGGCGAUGGCGGAGAAGUUUGACCACCUAGAGGAGCACCUGGAGAAGUUCGUGGAGAACAUUCGGCAGCUCGGCAUCAUCGUCAGUGACUUCCAGCCCAGCAGCCAGGCCGGGCUCAACCAAAAGCUGAAUUUUAUUGUUACUGGCUUACAGGAUAUUGACAAGUGCAGACAGCAGCUUCAUGAUAUUACUGUACCGUUAGAAGUUUUUGAGUAAGUAACAUUCUUGAUAUUAGUCUUGGGUAUAAAUCUUGUUCAGUUAUGGUGUGGUAUCGUGACUUCUUCAUCACUGGCAUUCGAGUGCCUGCUGUGUGGUAGGCACAGCCUGGGUGCUGGGGAUGUGCCAGUGGAAAAAAAAAUAGACAAAAAUACCUGCCCUCAUGGAACUUCCUUUCUAAUGGCAUUACAAAACGAAAAAAAAGAAUCUCCUUAAUAUUCUAUUGUUGAAAAAAAGUUACAUGUAAAUAAAAGCUUAUUAAAUAUAUGAAAUACAUCAUAGGUCCUCAAAGUCCUGCUUAGGCUAAAGAACAGCCACAAAAUUUUCUUUUUUCCUUAAGAG
rnacentral:sRNA from 1 species